rnacentral:rRNA from 1 species
CCUACGGGUGGCAGCAGUGGGGAAUAUUGGGCAAUGGGCGCAAGCCUGACCCAGCAAUGCCGCGUGAAGGAAGAAGGCUUUCGGGGUGUAAACUUCUUUGACAGGGGAAGAGCAGAAGACGGUACCCGGAAAACAAGCCACGGCUAACGACGUGCCAGCAGCCGCGGUAAUACGUAGGUGGCAAGCGUUGUCCGGAUUUACUGGGUGUAAAGGGCGUGUAGCGGGGAAGGCUAGUCAGAUGUGAAAUCCGGCGGCUCAACCUCCGAAUUGCAGUUGAAACUGUUUUUCUUGAGUACUGGAGAGGCAGCCGGAAUUCCUUGUGUAGCGGUGAAAUGCGUAGAUAUAAGGAGGAACACCAGUGGCGAAGGCGGUCUGCUGGACAGCAACUGACGGUGAGGCGCGAACGCGUGGGGAGCAAACAGGAUUAGAUACCCUUGUAGUC